UACGAAGGUCCCGAGUGUUGUUCGGAAUCACUGGGCGUAAAGGGAGCGUAGGCGGCGCGGUAAGUCAGAUGUGAAAUCCCGGGGCUCAACCCCGGAACUGCAUCCGAUACUGCCGUGCUAGAGGAUUGGAGAGGUAGCUGGAAUUCUUGGUGUAGCAGUGAAAUGCGUGGAUAUCAAGAGGAACACUCGUGGCGAAAGCGAGCUACUGGACAACUCCUGACGCUGAGGCUCGAAGGCCAGGGUAGCGAAAGGG
rnacentral:rRNA from 1 species